rnacentral:rRNA from 1 species
UGCUGCUACCAUGGUGGGGGGUACGCCCUACCCGGACGAUGAUGUUUAGCGGGGCCAAGAGGUUGUACCGCCACACUGGGAUUGAGAUACGGCCCAGACUCCUACGGGAGGCAGCAGUAAGGAAUAUUCCACAAUAAGCGAAAGCUUGAUGGAGCGACACAGCGUGCAGGAUGAAGUCUUUCGGGAUGUAAACUGCUGUUGUAAGGGAAGAAAAAACUAGAUAGGAAAUGCUCUAGUCUUGACGGUACCUUAUUAGAAAGCGACGGCAAACUAUGUGCCAGCAGCCGCGGUAAUACAUAGGUCGCAAGCGUUAUCCG